rnacentral:rRNA from 1 species
UACGUAGGGUGCAAGCGUUGUCCGGAAUUAUUGGGCGUAAAGAGCUCGUAGGCGGUCUGUCGCGUCGGCUGUGAAAACCUGCAGCUUAACUGUGGGCUUGCGGUCGAUACGGGCAUCACUGGAGUUCGGCAGGGGAGACUGGAAUUCCUGGUGUAGCGGUGAAAUGCGCAGAUAUCAGGAGGAACACCGGUGGCGAAGGCGGGUCUCUGGGCCGAUACUGACGCUGAGGGGCGAAAGCGUGGGGAGCGAACAGG